rnacentral:misc_RNA from 1 species
UCAGCACGCCUCAUUUGACGGUCGUGCUCUGGAUCAGGACGAUCAACACUAAGGUCGCGUUCAGCAUUUGAAUUGUAAGUUCUAUCCUUCUUUUCCCCGGGUGUUUGCCUUGCUGUUGGUGCCACAGAGCUCCUCUCAUCCCGGCGCAUGACAGUCCUAGCAGAUGAUACAGGUUGCGGAGCUAACGUCACGGAAUUAUCAGGUAAGAAGUGCGUGAACUCUUCCAGCAGAUCAUCAUGGCUGUGGAAUAGGGCAG